rnacentral:rRNA from 1 species
CUUGUGGAACACGAGAGUGCCUCGGGAGCCGAAGACAGGUGCUGCAUGGCUGUCGUCAGCUCGUGUCGUGAGAUGUUGGUUAAGUCCCGCAACGAGCGCAACCCUUAUCCUUUGUUGCCAGCGAGUAAUGUCGGGAACUCAAAGGAGACUGCCGGUGAUAAACCGGAGGAAGGUGGGAUGACGUCAAGUCAUCAUGGCCCUUACGAGUAGGGCUACACACGUGCUACAAUGGCAUAUACAAAGAGAAGCGAACUCGCGAGAGCAAGCGGACCUCAUAAAGUAUGUCGUAGUCCGGAUUGGAGUCUGCAACUCGACUCCAUGAAGUCGGAAUCGCUAGUAAUCGUAGAUCAGAAUGCUACGGUGAAUACGUUCCCGGGCCUU